CUUGAACUCAGGCUCGCACGAGCGUUAACUGUCCUGUGAACACACAUUUGGCUUUCCCACCAGUGACGGUGCAAGUCAAUAUUAUGUAGGCUACUUUAAUGCUGUUGUAGCAAUCUUUCUUUGCGGAAGCUUGACGUCAAUCUAUAUAUAAAUAUAUAAAAAAUAACCGACAACCGACACUCGUGACUUUUAUGCAUUCCACGUGUGUCGUUCAACUGGGAUACACACACAACUUUGAUCUCGUCUGGAGAAAAUGAAAACAUACAGAAUACACUUUGUCAUGUGGACUGUCCUGGGAUUAGCAGCAGUCUUCAUCUCUUCCUCGGCCCUCUCAGGUGUGAAAGGAAUUGUGAAACAGAAGGUCCUCCUGCAUUGCCCCUGCGUAAAUAGAAAUGUGAGAAAGACAAUUAUCUGGCAGCUAGAAGAGCAUACCAUCGUGCUCCGUCAUGAUGGAAGUAAUAACCACACAACCAUAGGGGAGAGAUAUGAAAACAGGGUCAGUCUCUUUCUAAAUGAAGAGAAGGACAACUGUUCGCUGCUCCUCUCAGGCAUCACUGUGGCAGACAACGGGACAUACAAAUGCUCCUUUACAGCCAACGCUUUUGUCUACGAAAAAGUAAUUCUACAUGUGGCUGCGAGCUACAGUGUCUGUAUGGACCUCGUCUCAGACCAGGCUUCGGUGAGUUCCGGAGGGGGAGAGGGGUCGGGGGUGUACCAGUGUAAAGCCUCUGGGGGCUAUCCAGAGGGCCAGAUUCACUGGAAGCUGGAAGGACAUCCUCUGGUGAACCCCUCCAGGAGGGAUGUGACCCACUUGGACAACUUUACAGGACUCUACAGCCUGACCAGCAACCUGACCAUCGAGCUGAGUAAGGAUGAAACACUGCAAUGUGUGGUGGAGAACACAGCCUUGGCCUCCAACCUCACCUCCAACUCCAGCUGCAAUCAAAAGUCUAUGUCCUGGGAAGGUAGCGGUCAUUAUAAAGUAGAGGUUGCAGCAGUUGUGGCUGUCAGCCUUAUUGUGAUUUUUAUUGUGGGAGUCCUGCUGGUGUUCUUACUAACUAGAUGUCGCCGACAUGAAAGGUCAACGAGAGACACAGAGAGGCAGGAAAGAGGCGUGACCCAUUCGUUUAAUGUGUAUGAAGAUGACUCUGCCUGAAUGUGUAAAGCGUCUCCCCCCUCUGAUGCAACAAUCUCUCUUCAACUGGCAGACAACAAAAUGGAGGGAUGAUGAUAAGAGGAACUGAAACUUAAAAUAAGGCCUGUGUUCAAUGUAGAACUUGGAGCAACAUUGAGCAAUGUGUUGUGCCGUCAUGUCUGAACUAUUCUUUGUUGUGUUACGCAAAGAGGCAAACGGCGCCUGAAAGUGGUUAAUCAUGGUUUUCCCUAGUUCGCUGACACUGAACUGAACCCUGAGUUAUGAAUAUGAUGACGAGAGCAGAGUACAAAAUGUGGCCAUGGAGACAAGGUUUAAGAACUAAAAGAGAAGAGAAGAACAGCAUGAUGGGAGAAAUGACUGUGAUCAAUGAACCGAAAGUGAGCUAGACUCAGUGAAUGAAGCCCCCCCCCCCAAAAAAAGGGAGCCUGUGUAUUGCAAUUGUAGAGUUUACUCACUUCUUAAAGUACAGGUGCUUUCAUAUUUCUAAGAAGAGUAACAUAAUCAAACCAGACUACUGUAGUUAUAUAGCUGAUACAUGACUGAAUAGCCAUCGUUGUCUUUAUGCAUUUUGUAUACUGCAUGUUCCUGGUGUUGGUCUAAUGUAGAUCUGUCUGCUCUAAACAAGAUUUCCCUCUGUAAAUGCCAAACUGGAAUGGGGGAGCCCCUACUGUGCUAUUAAAACCCCUUAUAAUGUCACUGGUCACAUUAUAAGGAAGCUGCAGUAGGAAGUGACUACUUUGCUGAACCAUUUGAAUCAUGCUGAGGAUUCAAACGAUUUGGUUUUAUGUUAGACCAAAUGAUUAGUUUUAAUGUAAAUAGUCAAUGACGUUAUUUUACUUAGAAUUCUGAAUUUAAUUCUCUGAAUGUGUGAAGAAUUGGACAUGUUAAUUGCUUAUUGUUAUGUAGCUUGCUGUGAACUAAGAGACCAUGACAUGUGAUGACUAAUGUCAAGGAUUAUUCAAUUUACAAAUGUCAAGCAAAUUAUCUGUUUACUCCAGUUUAAAGGUCUUCACAGGUCCACCUGAAUAUUCCAGACUUGACUUGGGACCGGGUCUGAAAUGAAAUCUUUUCGUUCUGGUCUGGGUCGUGUCCUGUUUGAUUGUCAUCAGGUGUCAAGUCUAUGUACUGUAAGCACAGAUCAAGGCUUUGCAUAGCCUAUAGAGGGCUUGACGUACGAUGCCUCCUGACGGUCAUGUUUGAAGACCACGGCAUUCAUUAUUCUGUUCUGACAACAACAGCCAAGUGACUACACCAAACUGCAUGAUAACAGUGGCCAGUGCCGACCCGUCAUUCAGGGCAGGUGGAGCUUUUGAGACCCACAUUUUUAGAAAAAAAUUUUUUGGCAGGGCUUGCCUGUUUUGCAUGUUAUUUUGGCAUUAAUACGUGUCACAUAUCAGUUUGCAAACAAUGUAAAAAAACACACACAAAAAAAAACACUCGUUCAAACGUUUGGGGUCACUUAUAAAUAUCCUUGUUUUUAAAGACAUACAGUAUAGACAUGGUUAAUGUUGUAAAUGACUAUUGUAGCUGGAAAAGGCAGAUUUUUAAUGCAAUAUCUACAUAGGUGUACAGAGGCCCAUUAUCAGCAACCAUCACUCCUGUGUUCCAAUAUAGAUCAAACGUAUCGGUGCUCGUCGGCCAUUGGACAUAAACAUUACACAACAAGUUGGAAAUUGCAAAUUCAACAAUGAGUGGUUUGUAAGGAAGUGAGCACAACUAGGUGAUACUUUAUACUGAUACAUAAAUGAUGUAAUAUGCCAGGGAGUUAUGUAUACUGUAGCUAAGAAAGUAAUACUACGUGUGUGGUGUGUAGUAAGCUGUUAGUACCCCAUGUGCCUCACGUUAAUAAUUUGGUCCCUUUUCCCCUCUUUCGCCUACUGUUCUGACUUGGUGGUGCACAUGCACAUGUAGUCUAUAGCCUGUUUUAGAGAAAUGUAAUCAUAGAAUAUUAUAAGAGCUUUCAUUGUCUGCUUAUUUGGCCCCGUUAUUUAUUCUACGGUUCUGACUUGAUGUACAAAGAGAAUACUGUAAAAAUGCCCAUGAUCUGUCGCUGUAUACUGCAUGUUCCUGGUGUUGGUCUAAUGUAGAUCUGUCUGGUCUAAACAAGAUUUCCCUCUGUAAAUGCCAAACUGGUAUGGGGGAGCCCCUACUGUGCUUUUAAAACCCCUUAUAAUGUCACUGGUCACAUUCAAAGGAAGCUGCAGUAGGAAGUGACUACUUUGCUGAACCAUUUGAAACAUGCUGAGGAUUCAAACUAUUAGUUUUGAUUCGUUUUCAUGUAAACGAUUCCUCCUGGUGGUCAUGUUGGAAGACCACGGCAUAAAUUAUUCAGUUCUGACAACAACAGCCAAGUGACUACACCAAACUGCAUGAUAACAGUGGCCAGUGCCGACCCGUCAUUCAGGGCAGGUGGGGCUUUUGAGACCCACAUUUUUAGAAAAAACAUUUUUGGGGGGGCUUGCAUUAAUACAGGUCACAUAUCAUUUUACAAACAAUGUAAAAAAGAUAUGUAUCAUUGAGUUAAUAAAGCCGCAUACAAACAUGGUCUCUUUUUGUGUUUUCUUGAGUAAGGCAGCUCCCAAAUGCAGGUGUUUCUGCCCAGCUCAGUGCUUUCUGUGGUGGGGAGGCAAGCCAGCAGGUUGAGGUUGGGGGAUUAUGGAUGCCAGGUCAUCUGAUGCAGCACUCCAUCACUCUCCUUGGUCAAAUAGCCCUUACACAGCCUGGAGGUGUGUUGGGUCAUUGUCCUGUUGAAAAACUAAUGAUAGUCCCACUAAGCCCAAACCAGAUGGGAUGGUCGAACUUCCGGCGCCGACAGAGAUGGCCGCCUCGCUUCGCGUUCCUAGGAAACUAUGCAGUUUUUUGUUUUUUUUACGUGUUAUUUCUUACAUUAGUACCCCAGGUCAUCUUAGGUUUCAUUACAUACAGUCGAGAAGAACUACUGAACAUAAGAGCAGCGUCAACUCACCAUCAGUACGACCAAGAAUAUGACUUUCGCGAAGCGGAUCCUGUGUUCUGCCUUUCACCCAGGACCACGGAAUGGAUCCCAGCCGGCGACCCAAAAAAACAACUUCGUAAAAGGGGGAAACGGAGCGGUCUUCUGGUCAGACUCCGGAGACGGGCACAUCGUGCACCACUCCCUAGCAUUCUUCUCGCCAAUGUCCAGUCUCUUGACAACAAGGUUGAUGAAAUCCGAGCAAGGGUAGCAUUCCAGAGGGACAUCAGAGACUGUAACGUUCUUUGCUUCACGGAAACAUGGCUCACUGGAGAGACGCUAUCGGAGUCGGUGCAGCCAACUGGUUUCUCCACGCAUCGCGCAGACCGAAACAAACAUCUUUCUGGUAAGAAGAGGGGCGGGGGCGUAUGCUUCAUGGUUAACGUGACGUGGUGUGAUCAUAACAACAUACAGGUACUCAAGUCCUUCUGUUCACCUGAUUUAGAAUUCCUCACAAUCAAAUGUCGCCCUGUGCAACUGGGUACUGGACUUCCUGACGGGCCGCCCCCAGGUGGUGAGGGUAGGCAACAACAUUUCCACCCCGCUGAUCCUCAACACUGGG
ensembl:lncRNA